rnacentral:rRNA from 1 species
UUCCGGUUGAUCCUGCCGGAGGCCAUUGCUAUCGGAAUCCGAUUUAGCCAUGCGAGUUGCACGAAUUCAUCUUCGUAGCGAACUGCUCAGUAACACGUGGCCAAUCUGCCCUAUGGAUACGGAUAAUCUCGGGAAACUGAGGCUAAUCCGUGAUAGCGCUCCUAUGUUUGAAUACAGGGAGCGUGAGACGCUCCGGCGCCAUAGGAUGAGGCUGCGGCCGAUUAGGUAGACGGUGGGGUAACGGCCCACCGUGCCGAUAAUCGGUACGGGUCAUGAGAGUGAGAGCCCGGAGACGGACUCUGAGACAAGAGUCCGGGCCCUACGGGGCGCAGCAGGCGCGAAACCUUUACACUGCACGACAGUGCGAUAGGGGGAUUCCGAGUGCGAGGGCAUACAGUCCUCGCUUUUGUGUACCGUAAGGUGGUACACGAAUAAGGGCUGGGCAAGACCGGUGCCAGCCGCCGCGGUAAUACCGGCAGCUCAAGUGAUGGCCGAUAUUAUUGGGCCUAAAGCGUCCGUAGCUGGCCGGGCAGGUCCGUCGGGAAAUCCACUCGCCUAACGAGUGGGCGUCCGGCGGAAACCGCUCGGCUUGGGACCGAGAGACCAGAGGGGUACGUCCGGGGUAGGAGUGAAAUCCUGUAAUCCUGGACGGACCACCGGUGGCGAAAGCGCCUCUGGAGAGCGGAUCCGACAGUGAGGGACGAAAGCUAGGGUCUCGAACCGGAUUAGAUACCCGGGUAGUCCUAGCUGUAAACGAUGCUCGCUAGGUGUGGCGCAGGCUACGAGCCUGCGCUGUGCCGUAGGGAAGCCGUGAAGCGAGCCGCCUGGGAAGUACGUCCGCAAGGAUGAAACUUAAAGGAAUUGGCGGGGGAGCACUACAACCGGAGGAGCCUGCGGUUUAAUUGGACUCAACGCCGGU